AAAAUCGAUGAUAAUGAGAUGAAGGGCUACAUCCUCAAUGGCAUUGACGGUGACUAUAAUCCGUUUGUCGCCUCUAUAAAUGAGGUGUCCGGAACAACUCUCAUGGAUAUGUGCUCGCAGCUCAUGGCUUUUGACU